rnacentral:lncRNA from 1 species
GGAAGGGUGAGAAUUUCUCGCACACUCUCUCCUAGAGCUUGGCAGUGCUUGUCUGUCCGUGGAUGUCAGAGCUCUAGGUCUUCCACCUUUGUACUCUAGGACUCAUACCAGCAGUUCCUAGGCUCUCCAGCCUUCAGCCUUGGACUGAGAAUGUUACCACCAGCUUCCCUGAUUCCCAGGCCUUCGGACUUGGUCUGAACCACACUACCGGCUUUCUUGGUUCUUCAGCUUCCAGAUGGCCUAUUGUGGGAUUUCUCAGCCUCUGUAAUUGUAGUCUUCAGGUUUUUCCAUAUAUAACAUCAUAUCAUCUGCAAACAAGGACAAUCUGACUUCUUCCUUUAUGAACUUUGGAGAAGUUUCCUGUCUGUAAAAAGGAGUCUCCCAUCAGCCUUUGCAGGGAAUUUAAGAAAAGGCCUUGCUGUAGAAUCCUAGAAGUCUGUGACUCAUCUCUGUACUGGGGAUUGCCAUAGAUAACACAAAGCAUCCUUUACUAUCAUGAAAACGUCUAGCACUAUCAGAUAUUCUACGGUAUAAACCUGCCAUACACCUUCUCCAUGCUAUGGGACCUGCUCUAAAUUGACAGUCUUCCGAUACACUCAAUAAAUGGCACUGAGCAUUAUUGCCAGGCAGCACAAUGCAGGAACAGAUACUCUCUGCUUGCAGGAAAGAGAGGAAUGUGAGCACAGGACUUUGUUUUGGACACCAACACCAAGCUUGCCUCAGUGUAAAGCCCAGCACUGAGCAGGCCACCACAGCCCCAGAAUCCUGGCUGGCACCUGAAGACUGAGCCUACAGACCUGUCCCAGCACCAAGCAGGACCCCCAAAGCCCCAGACUUCAGGUAAGAAAGGUGGAGUCAAUCCCGGGUUUAUACCAUCACUGGACAAACUUCAGCAGCCCCAGGAUCUGGAAAUACCUCAGCAGCAGCAGGCCUCAGUAGCCGCAGGCUUCUAGCUCAUCCCAGUGGCCCUAGGCUUUUAUCCUACCUCAGCGUUGUGCUGGCCUCAGCAACCUUGGGCUUUGGGACUAUGCCAGACAGCCUUCCAAGAAUUUCUAGAUGGGCUGACUGGUGAAGGGAAUUCCCAGAUAAAGCCAGUCUACGAAGACUGCAAUGACGUAAAUGCAUGACCACAACAAUAAAGAAUAAAGAAAAAUAGUAUAAACAAAAAGAUAAAGUGCCAAUGACAUGCCCCCCCCAAAAAAAAUGAGACGUAUAAACUUCCUAAAAAGGAAUUCAAAAUAACUAUUUUAAGGAAGAUCAGAGAACAAGAAAAUAGAGAAACUCAAUGGAAAUACAGAGGAAUUCAAUGACAUGAGGAAAGAAAUAAAUGACCAUAAUUAGAAAAUUAACAGAAAUUAAAAUAAUAAAAUAUCAAACAGCCUGCAGCUGAAAAAUACAGUGAAAAGUCCAGUAGACAGCAUCAACAGAAAAAUUGAUCAAGCAGACGAAUGAAUCUCUCAACUUAAAGACAGAUUAGAAAGCUUACUUUUAAAAAAUAAUAGCAGAAAACUUUCCAAACCUGGAGAAAGAUAACUAUCCAGGUAAUGUAAGGACAAUGCUCACCAAAAAGAUUCAACUCAAACAACACUACCUCAAGAUAUACUAAAAUGAAACUGUCAAAAAUCAAAGACAGAGAAAGGAUCCUGAAAGCAGUGAGAGUAAAGAAGCAAACAACAUAUAAGGAAGUUCCUGUAUGGCUAGCAGACAACUUCUCAGCAGAAGAAGGCCAGGAGAGCAUGAGAUAAUCUAGUUAAAGUGCUAAGGAAAAAAUGACAACCAAGCAUACUGUACCU